GACGAACGCUGGCGGCGUGCUUAACACAUGCAAGUCGAACGGAGUACCCUUGAUUGAGGCUUCGGCCAAUUUCUUGGACUACUUAGUGGCGGACGGGUGAGUAACACGUGAGUAACCUGCCCUCGAGUGGGGAAUAACACACCGAAAGGUGUGCUAAUACCGCAUAACAUAACGGAAUCGCAUGUUUCUGUUAUCAAAGAUUUAUUGCUCGGGGAUGGGCUCGCGGCCGAUUAGAUAGUUGGUGGGGUAACGGCCUACCAAGUCGACGAUCAGUAGCCGACCUGAGAGGGUGAUCGGCCACAUUGGGACUGAGACACGGCCCAAACUCCUACGGGAGGCAGCAGUGGGGAAUAUUGGGCAAUGGGGGAAACCCUGACCCAGCAACGCCGCGUGGAGGAAGAAGGUUUUCGGAUCGUAAACCUUUGUCUUUGGUGAAGAAGAAAGUGACGGUAACCAAGGAGGAAGCCACGGCUAACUACGUG
rnacentral:rRNA from 1 species